UUUAAUAUAGCUAAAUACAGCAGUGACUUCUACAGGCCUGUGAUAAUGUUGUUUUUCGUUUGGCUGUGUGACAAUGGCGGAAUCUAAAUAACUGCAAAAUUCUAGAAUUGGGUCCAUUUUCAUUAUGCAAAUUAGGCUUGUUGCGGAUGUGAUUCUCGUGCCCAAAGUUCGGGGGUUUAUGUUGGGGAGUCGACAAAAAGAGGCCAUCACAUGACGAUACAUUCGCGCCUCUUUCGUAAACCUCUCGAAGAUUGAAAACAACUUGGAGAAAAUGCAAGGUCAUGCAACAGAGACUCUGUAGGAGGAUGUUCCAGUUGAUGAUGUCGCCGUUGCUCCACUUUGUCAAUGACCGUCAUAGUUUUCCAGCUAAGGUGCAUCUAGUGUAGUUAGUGAAGUAGUCUAGUAUCUACUGCCCUGGGUGCACCUCUUGGCUGGAUGUACUGUGGUUUCGACAUUUCUGUGUUUGUCUUUUCUAUCUCGUAGUUGUAUUGUAAACACUUCCAUAUUUUAACUGGAUAGUAAUCUUUGGCUAACACAUUUACCUUUCAUGUAAUUGUUGUUUUUAUUACCUAAUUGCAUAGUCAGGCAAUUCCAAAGUGCUCACAGUGCAGGUAGUGCAAGUAUCUUCUACUGCAAUGUUUGCACUUCACGUAUUGCCAGGCUCCCUCUUCAGGACUGAGGGGGCGUCCUUUAAAGUGUGGACAUUCUGCUUUAAGAGGGCCCGGUGAGUUUUGCUGGUUUGCUUUCAGCGUUUCGCUUUUCUGCUGUGCAAAUCCAUGCAAAACUCGCUGUGCCAGCCUACAGAUUCAACCCUCAAGUGAAUAUCUAGAAUGAUGUUGUUGAAAUCUGUUGUUUAUGAAGAUUGAUACACUAAAGACAGUACAGUGAAGAUGGUUCUAUAUGAAAUGACUUAACUGUAACAGUUUGAACAGGCAGUGCCUGCAAACUGUCUUGGCAGCUGUUUCCUCUUCUGGGACAAUAUGUGUGUGUGUGUGUGUUUUUGUGUGUGUGUGUGUGUGUGGUGGGGGAGAACUUGGCAAGCUGGGUUGUCUUGCUGUUUUCGGGUGGAUGACUUUGCAAUUUUAAUGAUGCCUUUAAUCUAUACAAAAAUUGCACGGUAUCCAUCUGUAAUCCGCCAGAUGUUUUAUUCUGCAAAAUGGACUUUAUCUAUAUAAAGAAAAACAA